rnacentral:rRNA from 1 species
UACGGGGGGGGCAAGCGUUGUUCGGAAUUACUGGGCGUAAAGGGCUCGUAGGCGGCCAACUAAGUCAGACGUGAAAUCCCUCGGCUUAACCGGGGAACUGCGUCUGAUACUGGAUGGCUUGAGUUCGGGAGAGGGAUGCGGAAUUCCAGGUGUAGCGGUGAAAUGCGUAGAUAUCUGGAGGGACACCGGUGGCGAAGGCGGCAUCCUGGACCGAUACUGACGCUGAGGAGCGAAAGCCAGGGGAGCAAACGGG